AUCUCGCUAUCAGCUCACUCUAACUCUCCCACACGCUCUCAAUCUCCCUCUCAGUGUCGCUCUCGUUCUCCCUCGCAGUCUCGCUCUCGCUCUGUACUCUCACUCUCGGUCUGCAUCUUCAGUUUGGAAUCACAAGGGCACCAUCAAACAACAUUUUAUUUGGGCAUAAUUAUUGAGGCUAGCUGUUCCGCACUUGUUGAUGCUACCACCGUUCUAAGCAAGACAUUACCACAGCUAUCUCUUCUCACUUUCAUUACUCCACAAACCGAUCUACAAUUCCUGAAAGUAAGAAAAAACUAUGGCGGAAGGAGCUUUGUUCGAUCUUGCAGGGAACGUCCUUCAACUGCUGGGCUCUGUCAUUGUUGAAGAGGUCAAACUGGCCUCUAGUGUUGAAACUGAGAUUGAAAAUCUAACCGACACAGUCACCACAAUCCGCGCUGUGCUUCUGGAUGCAGAAAUGCAGAGUUCUCAUAACCAUCAGAUCAAAGACUGGCUCAGUAAGCUCAAAGAUGUCCUCCAUGAUGCUGAUGAUUUGCUGGAUGAUUUCUCCACCCAAGUAAUGCGCCGCAAAGUGAUGACAAAGAAGGUACGCCUUUUCUCUUCAUGUUCAAACCCGCUUGCUUUUAGUCCUAAGAUGGGUCAUGAAAUAAAGGCAAUUAGGGAGAAACUAAAUGCCAUUGCAAAAGAUAAGGAGGCUUUUCACUUUAGUCAAAGCUUGGUUGAGCCACGAGUCAUGACUAGGGGGGACAGAGAAACUUAUUCUUUUGUACUCGAAGAUGAAGUUAUUGGGAGAGAGGACGAUAAGAAAGAGAUUAUGGAACGUCUUUUUGAUGACAAUGUUGUAGCGAAUAUUUCUAUCAUUCCAAUUGUUGGUUUCGGAGGAUUGGGCAAGACGACACUGGCUCAAUUGGUGUACAAUGAUAAAAAUGUCCAAACAGAAUUUGAGAUAAAACUUUGGGUUUGUAUCUCUGAUGUCUUUGAUGUACAGCGGAUUGUUAAAGAAAUUUUAGAACAUUUGACAAAAAGGAAGCAUGAAGGAAGCAUUGAGAUGUUGCAAACUCAGCUUCGAGAAGAGCUUAAUGGAAAAAAAUACUUGAUUGUCUUGGAUGAUUUGUGGAACGAGGAGAGUAAUAAAUGGCUUCUCUUGAGAAAUUUGUUAAUGGGUGGUGCAAGGGGAAGUAGGAUAAUAGUGACCACACGCUCAGAAAGUGUAGCGAGGAUAAUAGGGGCAACUUCAUGGCAUGCUCUAAGAGGCCUACCUGAAGAAAAUGCUUGGAGUUUGUUUGUGAAAGUAGCAUUUGAAAAUGGUCAACUGCCAAAGAAUGAAGCCUUUGAAAGUUUGGGUAGGGAGAUUAUGCGGAAGUGUGGUGGGGUACCUCUAGCCAUAAGGACGAUAGCAAGCUUGCUAUGCACCAAAGCUACAGAAAAUGAGUGGCGAUCCUUCAAAGAUUAUGAACUUUCAAAAAUAACUCAAGAAGAAGAAAAUGUUAUUUUAUCAACGCUUAAGUUGAGUUAUAAUCAUCUACCAUCGUACUUAAAACAAUGCUUUGCUUAUUGUAGAUUGUUUCCAAAAGAUUAUAAGAUUAAUGUAACAACAUUGAUUAAUCUUUGGGUAGCACAAGAUUUUAUUAAGUUAUCAGAUUCAAAGCAACGUGUUGAGGAGGUAGGGCGAGAGUACUUUAUGGUAUUACUUCGGAGAUGUUUUUUUCAAGAUGUGCAAAAAAAUGAUUGCGACAUUAUAUCAUUUUGCAAAAUGCAUGAUCUCAUGCAUGAUCUUGCAGCUCUUGUUGCUGGGAUGGAGAGUACCAUGCUAACUUCGAGUGGGGAGUUUAAUGGUAAAAAAGUUCGUCAUGUAUCAUUUGAUCUUGAAGAUUCCUCAAGGAAACUUUCAAUUUUCAAGGUUAAAGGAAUGAAAAUACGAACAAUUCUUACAACUAGUGUAGGGGGGAAAUUGGGGAACUUAAUUUGCAAUGCACUUGUUUCAAAUCUCAAUUAUUUACGAACAUUAGAUUUAAUUGAAUUAAAUCUACGUGUAGUGCCACAUUCAAUUGGGGAAUUAAAACAUUUAAGAUAUCUUGAUCUUUCUAAAAAUGGUGAUAUUAAAUUUCUCCCUAAUUCCAUUACCAAGCUGCUAAAUUUGUUAACGCUAAAUCUUAACCAUUGUUACUCACUUAAAGAAUUACCCAGGGGUAUUAAGAAGUUGGUCAAUCUUAGGCGUUUAGACGUUAGUUUUUGUAGCAAAUUGACGCAUAUGCCCCUUGGACUUGGGCAUCUUACUUCUCUUGAGAUACUAACGUGGUUCGUCGUGAGGCGAGGGGGUUCUAAGGCUAGCUCGUGUGGUUGGUAUGAGAAAAAACAGGCUAAGUCUGGUGGUGGGCUAAGUGAAUUGAAGGAGCUGAGCAAUUUGGGAGGAAGUCUAUAUAUUCAUAAAUUGGGACAUGGAGAAGAUGACAUGGUGGAAUGUAAAGCCACAAAUAUGAAGCAGAAACAACAUCUUCAAGAGCUGGUAUUACAGUGGGAUGAAAAGUGGGAUGAUGGAGAAAACGAAUGUUAUGAUGAAAUGUCACUAGAAGGCCUCCAGCCACAUCCAAAUCUUAAUGCGUUGGGAUUGUUUUAUUAUAUGGGUGUGAGAAUUCCAAGUUGGGUCUCUUCUCUCACUAAUCUUGUUCAUUUUGGUUUAUGGCAUAAUGAAAGAUUGCAGCACCUCCCACCGUUAAAUCUACUCCCUUUUCUCAAGUCUGUCUCUCUUCAAUUUGUGGAAGCACUUGAAUACAUUUCAGAUGAAGACAGUGUUAGUGACGUGUUGGGUGCUUCCUCUUCUUCUUCUUCUUCUUCUUCUUCAAAAACACCAUUCUUCCCAUCCUUAUCUUCUCUAUAUAUAAGGGAUUGCCCAAAACUGAAGGGAUGGUGGAGGAAUUCAGAUGAUAAUGAGCCACACCAUCUCUUACUUCCAUCAUUUCCUCCUUCUCUUUCGAAAUUAUAUAUCAUCCAUUGCCCUAACCUGACUUCCAUGCCCCUGAUUCCUGAUCUCACCUCUUUGAAAGAGAAACAUAUUUCUGGUUGUCUCCUCUUACGGCUACGCGAAGGAAACAGUGAAGAUUGUCCCAAAAAAUCCAACAAGAAAAAACAAUUUAUUCAGAAUCUGAUUUAGAAUCGGAGUUGGUUUGUUCACUUCCAGAGGGGGAAUUUUUUCAGGAUCAAGGAAUUGACUCCAAUCGCUUCGUCUCUUGUUAUUAUGAACGCGAUCGUCGUGGACAAUAUCCUCUUCUUCUUCUUCUUCUUGGAAUUGUGGAAGUGGAAGUGGGGGUGGUUCGGUAAUGGCGCGGGACAUGUUGAAGGACUGGACGAAGCCGCGGAGGUCCUUGGCGACGAAUCCCUGCGCGAACACUUUGCAAACAGACUGCAUUUGGUUGCACACCACGCACCUCCACUUGCUGAUUUUCUUCUUCUUCUUCUGUUGCUGCUGCUUCACCUGAGACAAAAUCUCAACUUUCAUCAAAUCACAAUCAAAUGAGAUAGAGUCUAGCUGGUUUAUUUAGUCUAGUGUGUCUGGACAUGCACAAAUCUAAUGACUCUGUUUAAAUCAUCUCCCUUUUCUCAAGUCUAUAUGUCUUUAAUUUAUGGCAGCACUUGAAUACAUAUCAGAUGAAGACUGUGUUAGUCAUGUGUUGAGUGGUUCCUCUUUUUCAAAAACACCAUUCUUCCCAUCCUUAUCUCAUCUUGAAUUAUGGAAUUGCUCAAAUUUGAAGGGGUGGUGGAGAAUUCAGAUGAUGAUGAUGAUAAUCAACCAAACCAUCUCUUACUUCCAUCAUUUCCUCCUUGUCUUUCUCAGUUAAAGAUUGUCGGAUGCUCUAACCUGACUUGCAUGCCUCUGUUUCCAUAUCUCAAAGAAGAUCUAAAAAUGGUUAGAGUUAGUUCAAAGGUAUUGCAACAGACAAUGAAAAUGAAAAUGGGAGCAACCACGUCACCCUCCUCGUGCUACUUUCCUCUCUCUCAAUUACAGUCUAUGGAGUUAUGUUCAGUCAAGGAUUUAGAAUCUUAUCCAGAGGAGUGGCUGCAAAACCUCGAUUCUCUCUGGAAACUCAAAAUAUACAACUGUGAAGAACUGGGUUCUCUCCCUUGGAUGGCCAACCUCACAUCACUACAACCACUUUCAAUUCAGGGUUGUCUCAAUCUUACUUCACUUCCUCAAGGGAUUCGCAAUACCACCUCUUUAAAGCAGUUAACAAUUGAGAAUUGUCCAAUCUUAUGGCGAAGAUGCUUGAGGCCUACAGGUGAAGAUUGGCCCAUCAUUUCUCAUGUCCCACGCAUGAUCGUGGAAUAUGAGAAAUAGCAAGAAGAAACAAAUUCUCCAAAAAUAGAGUGGUUUUUAAAACACGUCGAGAGGACUGAAUCUAGCAACUACCAUUGCAAGAAUUAGCUUAUUUUGCAGGCUGUUACUGCUCAGAGAAGCUUCCAAAUGUAGGAGCUUUUCAUUUUCCAAAAGGUUGAUAAGCCAUAGGAUUUUCUUCUUGACGUGACUGCAGUCUCUGUUCAAACAUGAGGCAGCAUUCUGCAUGUUCUUUUGGCCAUAGAUGAAUGGAAUAGAUGGAAGUCAUGGAACCUUUCAGGCCAAAGAGAGUAAAAAGUGUAAAGAUGGUAGAGCAUGACAGCAAAAGAAGCAGUUCAGAUAAACAUCCCAAACUGGAAUAAUUCGUUGCAAAGCAUAGCAAUGGUUGGUAAUGGCGUAAUGCUCAAACCACAGGACUUUUGGAAUUUUUAUUUUCCCAGUAGUUGAAUCUUGAAUCUUUUGGAUCUUGAUACACCUUCUACUGUUGUAGCAUCUGCCUCAUCUCCAUAUAUUUCAAAGAUGAUGGUUCCAUUAAUCAUGCAACCCGUCUCAUAACUCCUUUUCAGUGAGAGGGAUAUCAACCAUUAUAUGGUCACACAAUUCCCACUGAAGCUGACAAAGGGAAAUUUAACCAUGUUUGACUUAGAUUUGCUCAAAUUCGGCGACGUUUGGCCUAGAUUCGGCAAGGUUUGGCUCAGAUCUGCUUAAAUCCGGCUGAAUCUUUCUCUCCUCCACUAAGAUCUGGCGAAGAUCUACCACCCUCCACCCACCACCACUCCUUCAUCAGUUUCAACCAAACUGACUGAUCAUCCGCCAGAGCCCGAUCCGACUCAACCCAUAGUGGUUGCCAGUUAGUCGUGGGUCUUCACUUCUUCCACCCUCUCAAAUCCGAUCCGCCCAGCCCAUGGACAGCCCUACUCAAGAGAUUUUAGCAAAUCAAUCUAUUAUUUUUCUUUUUGGUGUUCGUUUUUCAAAUUCAAUGAGCUUUUGCCUAAAAUUUGUUCCAUAUAGUGAAGCAUCUUGCCAAAGGGUUUUCUUGCUUAUGAAUUAAUAUAAUUAAAAUAAGCAAUGUUGCUUAUAUGUAUAAACUGAAUUAGGUACAUUGCAUGUGUUUGUCUUUGGGAGGCAAAUCUGAUACCUUUAGAAUUGUGUGGUGUAAAGAAGUUCAAAAUUCCAAUUUUCAA